UGUGUGUGUGUGUGUGUGUGUGUGUGUGUGUGUGUGUGUGUGUGUGUGUGUGUGAAUUGAGAGAGAGAGGGGGCAGAAGGGAGCAGAGAGGGAGAGAGAUAUCCAAUGAUAGAUAAUCAGCAACGAGGUUCUAUAAAGGUAUUAGGCUACAAUACACUAACGUUAGGAUCCCAAUAACUAAACAAUAUGUUUCCACGUUAUAAUAAUUGAGGUUCCAAAUUUAGGGUAAAACAAUACAAUGUUGAAUGGCUUAGCAUAGGUGAUUUGCACAAAAAUGUGACGUUGUAGACCUUCAUCGGCGCUAUUAAUUUAGUGAUAUGUAUUCGUAACAAUGGCUAAUUCACUGCACAUAGUCUAGGCCCUAUAUCCUACAAUCUUUACACGUUCGCUAAAAUGUUUUGCAUUUCCAUCUACGUCGUCCAAUGCACCUGUUCACCUGUGUUAUUGCUGCUCACCAUAUAUUGUAUUGGCCCUAUAGAAACAUGUCGUUCAGGUGCUCACCAUAUUAUUGUUUAGGCCCUAUAGAAACAUGUCGUUCAGGUGCUAACAGGAGAGACCAAAUAGGUGGGAAGGCAUCCAUCCAGCUGCUCAGACAAAAAACUUCUUAAUCCUAAAUGAUAUGAAACCCAGCCCUGUGCAAUUAUUACGCACAUGGCACGCGGUUAAAAUCUGACUGCACUUUAGUUGAAUUAAAGUGUCCAUGGUUAGCUUUACAUUAGCAUUCCCUCAAAGUGACACCAGUUGAUUCAACUGACAUUUGAAGGCUAACAAAAGGACCCUUCAAGAAUGCACCAAGCAAGCAGACUCGAUCCAAUCAUGUAGAAUAUUGUAGAAUAUAGAUAGAAUAAUCGAUUUGUAAAUCAGGGUAGGUUCAGGGUAAACCCACAUUUCCUAAAUCUAUUUCUCAACAGUUUGGAACGUAUGCUACACAGGCCUCAACCACGCAUUCGUUUUAUCAAACACUCCAACAUACGGUUUUAACAGUACCAAAGUAGGCUAAUCAGGUUCUGACCUAAUGUUAUCAUUCAUACUAUUUCUCAAUUUCAACAGAAGUGUGUUUGUAAACAUAAAAGUCAAGCUUUCCCCCACCUUUUGGUGCGUCAUACAACAUACAACAUUUGUCAUGAAACAUAGACAAGCAGGCUGCAACUGUGAUCCUAUACUGUAGGUUUGUGUCAUUCUGUCACUUUAAAGAACAGUAAUGCCUGUAUUACCGAGAUUAUAUCGUUGUUAUUUUCCCUCUGAAGAAUAUAUGCCAGUCUAAAAUUGAACGUUUGACACCGUAUAACACUGUUUGACAUUGUAAUAGACUAUCGCUGUGAUAUUUUAUGAUUGUGAUAUGUAAUUAAACUAAUUCAAACCAACAAUGUUAACUUUCUAAUGAGUGAAUUUGUUUUAUUCGUUUAUUUGAUUAAGUUUGCGUGCGCAUUACGAGUUGGAUCAUU
rnacentral:lncRNA from 1 species